CGACAGUGAUCCAACUGUCAGUCUCUGUCAGUGUCGAUCAAAGGUGGGAGGAUGGCCCUUCGACAUUUAUCAACGGAAGAUUUAAUCACGGAGUUAUUUACUUUGGGGAUAGAGGUCACUGAAGAGGAGAAAAGUAAAUUCAAAGAUAAUGAUGUUGAUGGAGAAGCAGUGGACUAUGGAUUGACUGAGAGGAUGAUUUCAUGCCUCUUUGAAGGGUCGUUUAAGAAGCAAGCCAAAUUCAACCGAUUUGUUCAGCAGUGGAAAGAAAACGUGACACUAACCCUCGAGCCUGUCCCGGUACAUUCAGAGAAGGCUACAGCAGAUACAUACUGUGUCGAUGAUAAACUGUUUGUUAGUAUGGGGCAUUUAUGUUAAGCUGUGUUGGGAGGGCUGUAGAGGGUUGUGGAUGAGCUCAAAGCUUGUGUUUUUUAAUCCAGAACACAUCAAGUGUCAUUUAGUUUAUCCGUUAUGUUACUCUCUUUACUUUGGUGUGGUGUGCUAAAGUGUUUUGCUUGGUCUUUGAUAAAAAACUCAUGUUUUUCUGCACUAUAUUGCUGUUCUUAUUAGUGAUGUUCAUGAAAUUGAAAGAAGGAAAAUAUAAAUGGUUCCAUUGUAUUUAUUCUCUGAUAUCGCUGUUCAUUUUGUUUUUGGAGUGGCAGUAAGUUGUCAGUUUGUCAGUGAAAUGCUUCUUAAAAAAAUGUAAUUAAUUAUUUUUAAUGUUUUUAUAUCAGACAUGACAUCCUAAACAUUGUUACAUUUUAUUUUGGGUUGUUACAUUGUAUGGUUGUGAGAUGAAUUAUUAUUGAAUCUGUGAAUUAAACUGUUUUCCAUUUAAGGACUAAAAUAAAUGUCUUAAAAUGCA